UGGCGAACGGGUGAGUAAUACAUAAGUAACCUGCCCUAGACAGGGGGAUAACUAUUGGAAACGAUAGCUAAGACCGCAUAGGUACGGACACUGCAUGGUGACCGUAUUAAAAGUGCCUCAAGGCACUGGUAGAGGAUGGACUUAUGGCGCAUUAGCUGGUUGGCGGGGUAACGGCCCACCAAGGCGACGAUGCGUAGCCGACCCGAGAGGGUGACCGGCCACACUGGGACUGAGACACGGCCCAAACUCCUACGGGAGGCAGCAUG
rnacentral:rRNA from 1 species